rnacentral:rRNA from 1 species
UACGGAGGGUGCAAACGUUGCUCGGAAUCAUUGGGCGUAAAGCGCACGUAGGCGGUCUGUUAAGUCGGAUGUGAAAGCCCUCGGCUCAACCGAGGAAGUGCAUACGAAACUGGCGGACUUGAAUAUGGAAGAGGGUCGCGGAAUUCCCGGUGUAGAGGUGAAAAUUCGUAGAUAUCGGGAGGAACACCAGUGGCGAAGGCGGCGACCUGGGCCAAUAUUGACGCUGAGGUGCGAAAGCGUGGGGAGCAAACAGG